AGAACGAACGUCUGGCGGCGUGCCUAACACAUGCAAGUCCAACGGUGAAAGGGGAGCAAUCCCCCGGUAGGGUGGCAAACGGGUGAGUAAUACAUGGGUGAUCUACCUUAGGGAUGGGGAUAUCCUUCCGAAAGGAGGGGCUAAUACCGAAUAUUGUCCGGGACCAGUGAAGGGUUCCGGGGAAAGGGAGGCCUCUGAUACAAGCUUUCGCCUUAAGAUGAGCCCAUGGCCCAUCAGCUAGUUGGUAGGGUAAAGGCCUACCAAGGCUACGACGGGUAGCUUGGGUCGUGAGAGGACGAUCAGCCACAACUGGCACUGAGACACGGGCCAGACUCCUACGGGAGGCAGC
rnacentral:rRNA from 1 species